rnacentral:tRNA from 2 species
GCGGGAUUAGCAUAGUGGUAAUGUCCCAGCUUCCCAAGCUGGUCAGACGGGUUCGAUUCCCGUAUCCCGCUCCA